rnacentral:rRNA from 1 species
UACGGAGGAUGCAAGCGUUAUCCGGAAUGAUUGGGCGUAAAGCGUCCGCAGGUGGCUAUGUAAGUCUGCUGUUAAAGAGUGAGGCUCAACCUCAUAAGAGCAGUGGAAACUACAUAGCUAGAGUGCGUUCGGGGCAGAGGGAAUUCCUGGUGUAGCGGUGAAAUGCGUAGAUAUCAGGAAGAACACCCGUGGCUAAGGCGGCUCUCUAGUACGGUACUGACGCUGAGACGCGAAAGCGUGGGGAGCGAACAGG